rnacentral:rRNA from 1 species
CAGUCGCCGCGGUAAUACAGAGGGUGCGAGCGUUAAUCGGAUUUACUGGGCGUAAAGCGUGCGUAGGCGGCUUCUUAAGUCGGAUGUGAAAUCCCUGAGCUUAACUUAGGAAUUGCAUUCGAUACUGGGAAGCUAGAGUAUGGGAGAGGAUGGUAGAAUUCCAGGUGUAGAGGUGAAAUGCGUAGAGAUCUGGAGGAAUACCGAUGGCGAAGGCAGCCAUCUGGCCUAAUACUGACGCUGAGGUACGAAAGCAUGGGGAGCAAACAGGAUUAGAUACCCCGGUAGUCCCUGUCUCUUAUAC